CAAUAGCGUAUAUUAAAGUUGUUGCAGUUAGAACGCUCGUAGUCGGAUUUCGGGGCGGGUCGACCGGUCUGCCGAUGGGUACGCACUGGCCGACGCGUCCUUCCUUCCGGAGACCGUCCCUACUCUUAACUGAGCGGGGGCGGGAGACGGAACGUUUACUUUGAAAAAAUCAGAGUGUUUCAAGCAGGCAUCUCGCUCUUGCAUGGAUUAGCAUGGGAUAAUGAAAUAGGACUUUGGUGCUAUUUUGUUGGUUUCGAACACCGAAGUAAUGAUGAGAAGGGACAGUCAGGGGCACUCGUAUUCCGCCGAGAGAGGUGAAAUUCUCAGACCAGCGGAAGACGAACCACUGCGAAAGCAUUUGCCAGGGAUGUUUUCACUG
rnacentral:rRNA from 1 species